AACGAACGCUGGCGGCAUGCCUAACACAUGCAAGUCGAACGAGACCUUCGGGUCUAGUGGCGCACGGGUGCGUAACGCGUGGGAACCUGCCCUUAGGUUCGGAAUAACUCCCCGAAAGGGGUGCUAAUACCGGAUAAUGUCUUCGGACCAAAGAUUUAUCGCCUUUGGAUGGGCCCGCGUUGGAUUAGCUAGUUGGUAGGGUAAAAGCCUACCAAGGCGACGAUCCAUAGCUAGUCUGAGAGGAUGAUCAGCCACACUGGGACUGAGACACGGCCCAGACUCCUACGGGAGGCAGCAGUGGGGAAUAUUGGACAAUGGGCGAAAGCCUGAUCCAGCAAUGCCGCGUGAGUGAUGAAGGCCUUAGGGUUGUAAAGCUCUUUUACCCGGGAUGAUAAUGACAGUACCGGGAGAAUAAGCUCCGGCUAACUCCGU
rnacentral:rRNA from 1 species